CGCGUAGGCGGGGAUACAAGUCAGGUGUGAAAUCUAUGGGCUUAACCCAUAAACUGCACUUGAAACUGUAUCUCUUGAGUGUCGGAGAGGUAGACGGAAUUCCUAGUGUAGCGGUGAAAUGCGUAGAUAUUAGGAGGAACACCAGUGGCGGAGGCGGUCUACUGGACGAUAACUGACGCUGAGGCGCGAAAGCGUGGGGAGCAAACA
rnacentral:rRNA from 1 species